rnacentral:rRNA from 1 species
AUUGAACGCUGGCGGCAGGCCUAACACAUGCAAGUCGAGCGGAUGAAGGGAGCUUGCUCCUGGAUUCAGCGGCGGACGGGUGAGUAAUGCCUAGGAAUCUGCCUGGUAGUGGGGGAUAACGUCCGGAAACGGGCGCUAAUACCGCAUACGUUCUGAGGGAGAAAGUGGGGGAUCUUCGGACCUCACGCUAUCAGAUGAGCCUAGGUCGGAUUAGCUAGAUGGUGGGGUAAAGGCCUACCAAGGCGACGAUCCGUAACUGGUCUGAGAGGAUGAUCAGUCACACUGGAACUGAGACACGGUCCAGACUCCUACGGGAGGCAGCAGUGGGGAAUAUUGGACAAUGGGCGAAAGCCUGAUCCAGCCAUGCCGCGUGUGUGAAGAAGGUCUUCGGAUUGUAAAGCACUUUAAGUUGGGAGGAAGGGCAGUAAGUUAAUACCUUGCUGUUUUGACGUUACCAACAGAAUAAGCACCGGCUAACUUCGUG